UUUGUUUCUUUUUUAUCGUUUAUCGCCUCUCAAACUUUUAAAUAAGUUUCCAAAAUUAUUUACGUUAACUUCAUUUCGUCAAGUUCAUUUUCCAGUUUUUCAUUAAUUUAUUUCAUUGACUUUGAUUCAUCUUAGUGAUUCAAGAUGCAUUUGAAACGUUGCGUACUCAUGCAUUGUUUGUGCGAUUAACGUAGGUUUCCUUCUAUUGCUAUGAUAUUUUUGCACUCUGUCAUCUAUGCAUAGACACAACAUAUAUGUUGACAUAUAUUUCAUGUUAAAUUGAAAAUUUAUCGAUCCAUUGAUGUCUUUUGCAACGAAUCGUAUUUAUUACUAAUCGAGAACUCGUUAUUUGUCAUCUAAUUAUUAAUUUAUCAUUGACGAUAGAUAUUUCGAUUAAGCAUUCCGUAAACUUAUUUAUUAACCUUUCUCGAACUAUAUAAAAAACCUAAAAAUUUCAAUAAUCAGAACACAAAAUUAGGAUAGAUCUAGGCGAAAUAAAAAACUAUUAUUUUCAACGUUACGCAGUCAAGAGCGACGGCGUAGGUGUUCUUUUGACUUUUUAGUCGGGUGGUAUUGCGUUAUCGAUCGUCCAGCACAGAUAUAGCUAUAGGAGAGCGUGUACUUCGCGUUCUCAGCUUGUGGUGGUACGGUAAUAAUCGUGAGGUCUCUUCGAAAAGGUGUUCAACGCUUGGGUCUGACUUCCGUGGGUUGCGCCGGUGCAUGUAUUUCAUGCCAGGUUAUGCAACUACUGCAUUUGCAAGAGAGAAAGAGAACUAGUAUGAGAGUUAGAAAGACAGAGAAAGAGAGAGAGAGAGAGAAAGAGAGAGAGAGAGAAAGAGACAGAGAGAGAGUUAGAAAAAGAGACAGAGAAAGAGAGAGAGACUCGUAUUUAAAUUUAGACAGUGCAACGGCUGUUUCAACAGUCGGUACGGCUACUCUGUGCUCUUGGUGUGACAUCGUUGCCUUUAUACGAGACAUAUUCUUUUCUUCGUUUCACAAUUUCCCUGUUUCCCUCUCCGUCUUGGAAAAAUCCGACCGUGAAAUAUUUCCCUUCUAUGGAGAACGGAAAACGACAUAACGAUCGAGGUCGCCGCUGUUGCUCGAUUGGUAGAAUUUACUUGAAAAUUACGUGUAUCGCGUUACGAUGCUCACUAGAAAACUAGAACUUAGUAACUCGGGAGUAAGAGAGAGAGAGAGAGAGGGAGAGAGAGAGAGAGAGAGAUUGAAGAUAGAACAUUUUUGCGAGCUUCAAUGAUUUUUCGAUGAGGUAACGUAGUGUAAAGAAUCAAUAAAUCCGAUCGAUAAAUCGAAAGAAAUGUGUUCAAGAGAGGGAGAACGAGAGGGAGAAAGAGAGAGAAAGAGAGGGAGAGAGAGAGAGAGAGAGAGAAAGAAAGAAAGAGAGACACUUCGUCGUUGAAUUCUGACCCAAUUCCUAUAUGCCGUCGUUUGCUUCAACGCAUACACAUACAUACGUGUACACGUACAAAUGCUUAGAGAGUGUGUCUAGCAGAAGUUUAAGCUCAGCUAUUUUCAACCGCUCCGUCAAAAAUAGAGAGCUGCAUACUAUACCGAGAGAGAGAGAUAGAGAGAAAUGGCAGGUCUCGUUAUAUGAGCCAUCUUAAUUUUCGUCCCGUCGUCCUAUGGAAUAUUAAAUAUCCGUCGGUUUAUUUAAAGAAAAGCUUUAAUAUCGAUAAGCUAAAAAAUCGUUCACGGAAUGGAACGAACACAACUGGGUAAUGUGCGACCUAUUAAACAAAGAGAAAGAGAGAGAGAAAGAGAGAGAGAGAGAGAGAAAGAGAGAGUGUGAGAGAGAGGGAGAAAGAGAGAGAGAGACAGAGAGAGAGAGAGAGAGAAGGAGAAUGUUUUAACAAAGCAAAGAAAUGGCGGCGAGCUUGAAGUCCGAUAAUUCAUCGUUUGUCAUUCACCUUGGAAGAGCGAAUCGGGACACGUGCAGUAGGCCGCUCGGCUAAGGCCUCCAGCGCAUGAUUGAUCUGACAUAAUAUCUACUAUAAUCACAUGCCGGUUGCCUAAACGCCUUCGGGGAGAGAUAAUACGCUGGGCGAGAAUAACUGAUGCGUUGGUAAACCAAACGAGGAAAAUUGAUAAGCGAGCGUUAACUCGGAGUACUUCAUCGCCCGUACGAGUUUGAUCAAUUUUAUUUUUUAUUUAGCUGGUAGGCGUGAACAUGCAUUGGAUGUACCUAAAGGCUGUUCUUUUGACUUGUGAAAAAAAAAGAUAAAAAGGACUACUUCGAUUAAAGAUGAUAAUUUAGUUCAAUGCGUUCCGUAUCUAUCUAUAUAUAUACAUAUGUAUAUACAUAUAAUGGGGAAAUAUUUUUUGAGAAUUUUUUUUUUAUUGGUUUAUAAAUAAUUAUUAUAUCCUGUUAAAAAUUUGGAAGAGAACGUUAGAGAACGAUAACAUUUUAUUCUUAUCUAGGACCCUGAUCACAAUAUUAACGGGAUAGAAAGUAUUGAUUUUUUCCUAUUAUUAUUAUUAUUAUAAAGAUAAGAACGUGACCUUUGUACGCCGUUAUUAUGUAGAUUUUAUUCGAUUUUUAAGUCACAGAUUGACGCGAUAAAUCAUUUAACACGGGAACGCGACGAAAUUUAUUUAUGCCUUCUGCUCUAGGUGCGGCGAGUCGUGAAAAACAUCUUCGUAUCAUAUGUUACAUGCUCGACAAAGAUGUUAAUCGUGUCGCGUCAAUUAAUAGUAAUUCGUCCUUGAGCGGAAGCACUAAUAAUCUAAUAUCGAUAUCGUUUAUCAGUUGAUACGGUCGUUGGUUUUUUUUUUAUUUUCUUUAACCCUUUGUUCUUUAAUUUAUUUUCCUAGUCUCUUCUCGAGCAGCUUUGAUUUGAUUUUUUCUAUUUUUAAUAUGUCAUGUACGCACACAUACGCACACACAUACGCACACACAUACACACACACAUACACACACACACAGGUACAUAUAUACUUUGAAAGUAAUUUUUAAAUAAAGUUUUCCUACUGA